rnacentral:rRNA from 1 species
ACGGGUGAGUAACGCGUGAGUAACCUGCCUUUCGGAGGGGGACAACAGCUGGAAACGGCUGCUAAUACCGCAUAACGUAUAUUAAGGGCAUCCUUGAUAUACCAAAGAUUUAUCGCCGAAAGAUGGACUCGCGUCUGAUUAGCUAGUUGGUGAGGUAAUGGCUCACCAAGGCUGCGAUCAGUAGCCGGACUGAGAGGUUGAACGGCCACAUUGGGACUGAGAUACGGCCCAGACUCCUACGGGAGGCAGCAGUGGGGAAUAUUGGGCAAUGGGGGAAACCCUGACCCAGCAACGCCGCGUGAAGGAAGAAGGCUUUCGGGUUGUAAACUUCUUUGACGAGGGAAGAAAGAAAUGACGGUACCUCGAAAACAAGCCACGGCUAACUACGUGCCAGCAGCCGCGGUAAUACGUAGGUGGCAAGCGUUAUCCGGAUUUACUGGGUGUAAAGGGCGCGUAGGCGGGACUGCAAGUCAGAUGUGAAAUGUGAGGGCUUAACCCUCAAGCUGCAUUUGAAACUGUGGUUCUUGAGUAUCGGAGAGGCAGGCGGAAUUCCAAGUGUAGCGGUGAAAUGCGUAGA